GUGGGGAAUCUUAGACAAUGGGGGCAACCCUGAUCUAGCCAUGCCGCGUGAUCGAUGAAGGCCUUAGGGUUGUAAAGAUCUUUCAGCUGGGAAGAUAAUGACGGUACCAGCAGAAGAAGCCCCGGCUAACUCCGUGCCAGCAGCCGCGGUAAUACGGAGGGGGCUAGCGUUGUUCGGAAUUACUGGGCGUAAAGCGCACGUAGGCGGAUUGAAAAGUUGGGGGUGAAAUCCCGGGGCUCAACCUCGGAACUGCCUCCAAAACUAGCAGUCUUGAGUUCGAGAGAGGUGAGUGGAAUUCCGAGUGUAGAGGUGAAAGUCGUAGAUAUUCGGAGGAACACCAGUGGCGAAGGCGGCUCACUGGCUCGAUACUGACGCUGAGGUGCGAAAGCGUGGGGAGCAAACAGGAUUAGAAACCCCAGUAGUCC
rnacentral:rRNA from 1 species